AGAGUUUGAUCCUGGCUCAGGAUGAACGCUAGCGGCAGGCUUAACACAUGCAAGUCGAGGGGUAACGUGAGUGCUUGCACUUGACGACGACCGGCGCACGGGUGCGUAACGCGUAUAGAACCUACCUUAUAGUAAGGGAUAGCCCAGAGAAAUUUGGAUUAAUACCUUAUAGUAUGAUAAGAUGGCAUCAUUUAAUCAUUAAAGAUUUAUUGCUAUAAGAUGGCUAUGCGUUCUAUUAGCUAGUUGGUAAGGUAACGGCAUACCAAGGCAACGAUAGAUAGGGGUCCUGAGAGGGAGAUCCCCCACACUGGUACUGAGACACGGACCAGACUCCUACGGGAGGCAGCAGUGAGGAAUAUUGGACAAUGGAGGCAACUCUGAUCCAGCCAUGCCGCGUGUAGGAAGACUGCCCUAUGGGUUGUAAACUACUUUUAUAGAGGAAGAAACAGUUCCACGUGUGGAACUCUGACGGUACUCUACGAAUAAGGAUCGGCUAACUCCGUGCCAGCAGCCGCGGUAAUACGGAGGAUCCAAGCGUUAUCCGGAAUCAUUGGGUUUAAAGGGUCCGUAGGCGGGUCUGUAAGUCAGUGGUGAAAGUUUUCGGCUCAACCGGAAAAUUGCCAUUGAUACUGCAGGUCUUGAAUCAUUAUGAAGUGGUUAGAAUAAGUAGUGUAGCGGUGAAAUGCAUAGAUAUUACUUAGAAUACCGAUUGCGAAGGCAGAUCACUAAUAAUGUAUUGACGCUAAGGGACGAAAGCGUGGGUAGCGAACAGGAUUAGAUACCCUGGUAGUCCACGCCGUAAACGAUGGUUACUAGCUGUUCGGACUUCGGUCUGAGUGGCUAAGCGAAAGUGAUAAGU
rnacentral:rRNA from 1 species